GUAAAAGGGAUUUCUUGCAUUUGGAUUAAUGAGUAAAGGAUAGAAUAAUAAAUGCUAAUGAUAAUUUUGUAAAGCAGUUGAUUCUGUAUA
rnacentral:sRNA from 1 species